GCUGCAGCCGCCCUCAGGCCUGGAAGCCGGCAAGGCGCUGCCCCCACGGCCCCGCUACCCAAUGACACGGAACAAAGGACAGACAGCAUCUUGGCAGACAAAAGGUCUCACGGACCGGAACAGAGCCUGACACAGAGCAGGUACCGAACACUCCCGUCUCAGGAGGUGCUGCGAGAACUGUACCACACAGACCCCGGCCUUGUGGGGACCUGCACUCCAGCCCUGUCCCUCUGAACAUGGCUGAGACGGGCUCAAAAAGGCAGGCCGUGGCUCUCAGGAGAACGUUCCGUCUCCAGCUGGACAGGUGAGAGGGGACCGGGCUGGGGCCUCUUCACCUCUCCUGCCUUGCUCAGGACUGAUGACAGAUGAUGGAAACAGCAAUGGUGUGGGUGAAACAUGACCCCUGAAGAGACUGAGGGGCGGUGACAGGUGCCCACCUGCUGGGACCCAGACUCCAGCCGCACAACCCCACCCCCCAGCUGUGUCCCCGCCAGGACCCACUCACUACCUUCACGGCGCCUCCUGCGGGCAGGUGGCCCACGUUAUCAAGGGAUCCCACCUUCGCCUGGGCCUUCUCCUUGAAGUUCAGCUUCUGACUUUCGAUCUUGACAUCUCCUCCACCUGGAACCAAACAUAAAUGGGUCACUAUGCGUGACAGAGAAAUACCCCUACAGGCAAAGCCAGGAGGCUGGCCAAGGACUGGGAUGUGCCCAGUAUAGAAAUGGGGAAAACGUGACCUGCUCUGAGGACAAAGGAAGAGGCACAGUGAACACAUGCUUUCAACCUCAUAAACACCCUGUUGGUCAGGGUCAGGAUCCUGGAAUCCUGGUUUUCCAGCUGCCAGCACUGAUACUGGAGGAGAGGAGUGACUUGCCCAAAGUCACCAGUGAGCCAGUGACUCACAGGAUGGAGUAUGGUCUAGGUGAGCAGUUUAACUGAAUCUCACUGCCAUGAAAAGAAGGGAAGGCAAGAGGCGGGAGCAGAGGGGAGGCAGUCAGUACACAGGCAACGCUCACAGCUCAGCCAGAGUGUGGCCACGGGAUCAAGGGCCAGAGCACUGUCACUGGCCACCUGGCCCCUCAGCUUGGCUUUCCCUUGAGCCCUUCUUCAUUCUCCCAUCUCCUCUUUGCUCAUAUCACCAACCUCAACACCUAGCUUCCUGUCAAAUCCUCCAGGUAUCCUACCCACUGGAUUUCUGGCCCCUUGCAAAAACUGGACCUCAAGUCACUCAGUGUCACUAGGGAAGGAGGUUAUCUCACAAGAGUGGAUUUUCCAGAUAGAAGGAAAAAUGAAGGUUAGUUAAGGGCCAAAGUGUUUUGAUCCUUUUAAACAGAACACCUUCUAAAAUGGAUGACACUUUUUGCUGAGAGGGAAGGGAGUUUUCUUUGCCUUCACCUUAACUGGCCCGUGGCGACUGAUCUCUGAGACACCAGACCUGUCAGCCAGUGUGCCUGCCGCUACAGAUACGGCCCUGCCCCAAAUCUGCUGCCGACCCAGGGUCCAGGACACACGAGGCUCUUAGGGUACAGCCGAGGCAAGAACGCAGGCCCUGCUCAGACAACAUUGCCAGCAGCUCAGAGGCCUCCGCGGGGGCGCCAGGCCACCUGUGCUGCUGGCAGGAGAGUCUGCAUUGCUGUAAUGGCAAGAUCCACAUGGGCAGGCCGAGGUGGCAUUAUUGAAUGGCUCCCUAUCUCCUGCUGGAGCUGCUGGUGGAUGCUUCACUGCUCGGGUAUACCCUUUGCUCCUGAGUCUGACAGGCAAGGCCCGGCCACCACUCUCCAGAGCUCCUUCAGCACCAGCUCCUGAACGCUUGCCUGGGAGGCCAAGAAGGGUUCUUAGCCCAUAGCGCACCUUUCCCCUAGGCCUAGGUCAACAGUGCCGUGAACACGGCAGGUCCUCAAGACGCUGCUGGUGCAAAUGGCAGCCCUUACACACUGUUCCUCCUCCAACUAAAAGGUUAGUGCCCAGAAUCCCCCCUCCCUGACAGGGACUGAGGACUACGUUGUUUCUACUGCUGUGCCCUGGGUGUGUGGCUCCAGGAAUCUUCAUGGAAGGACAGAAACAUAGGGGUGAAACCUGGGACAAGGGAGGCACCACUCACCAGGCUUGUGCUUAAUGUUAGCCUUGGACCCACACUUGGAGGAGACCUUAGAGAUGUCCACCUUCUUGUUCUGAAUCUGAACCUGAGGAGAAAAACACACAAAAAAAUGACUGCCUCAGAGAGAGAGUGUAUAUUGCCAGGUCCAAACCCAUGCUCUCUUUAUAGUCUCCAAACCUGAGCUCAGAGGCCGCCUUCUCCAAAGCCUUCCCUGGCUCUAACCUCACUCCAUCUCUUCUUCAUACCAUCUCUUGAAAGGACCUCAGCAUCAGCUCUACGCUAAUCGCUUCAUGUGCUCAAUCAUCAUCUAUAGCGCACCUACUACCAUCAAAACAGCAGCCUCUACUCUGGCUCAUCUUUCCAACAAGGCUGCAAUUCUCCCUAAACAGGAGCAUGGGGAAAUGCACUUUUCCCAGCCACAGAUCUGGCAGCUGCUAAAGCCACCACGUGGCCUCGGCAAAGGUGACAGGCUCAUCUUGCGCCAUGCCUGAGAUGACCUGUGAGGAGUCAACAGAGGUCACUCGCCACGGCUGGGCUCUUGCCAGGCUGUGGAGCCCACACAUCUGUUGACAGUGAGCCACAGCUGAACCUAGUCCCCAAAAAAAGAAUAGCUGAUGAGGGGAAGUUUCGCUGUAUAGGUGUAUUCCAGCCAAUAAAUGAAGAAGGGACAGGAGAAUUAGAGUCUCACCACAGUGCACCUUCACUGAACUCAUGGUUUUGGGCAUCAACAGCCGCCAGCAUCACGAGGAGCGAGACGACGAGAAGGGUGAGACAUUACGUUUCCUGACAGAAACACCACCACUGCCUAUGAAAGUCUUGCAAAAAUGUGGGGAAAAAAAUCGAGUCUGAAUCAAUCUAAAGAAAACUGUGGAACUAAUGAAUAUGUUAAGUGAAACCAUGGGGACAUCCUCAGCAGAAUCCAAAUUCUAGGACAAACCACUCAGUUUACUCUUGAAAAAUAUUACCGUGAAAAAAGAAAAAAUGAACAGGGAACUUGUAGAGUAAGAGAAACCUAAGAUUAUAAGAUGCAAAUCAACCAAUCACAACUUACGGACCUUACUUGUUUCCUGAUUAAGCAAACCUGUUUAACAUGCUAUGGGAUUUUAUAUUAUAUACAUAUGUAUAUUAGAGUUCUUAUCUUUUAAAGUUACAUACUGGAAUAUUUGCAGAUGAAAGAUAUAACUAGAACUGGCUUCAAAAUAACUGGGGUGGGCAUUUAUAGAUAAGACUGGCCACAAAGAUAAUAAAUGAAGCUGGGUAAAAAAGUACAUCCAGUUAACAUUA